rnacentral:ncRNA from 19 species
UCUGCUUCGGGUGAUGGCGUCCACCCCGAAACGCCCGCGUGGCUGAUGACGCCUUUUCGCAU